ensembl:lncRNA
AGCAGGCUCCUUCCCCCUCACUCCACAGCAUCCACGGUGGCGGCCGGCACCGGAGUUCCUAGUAGAAUCACUACAAAUUUAUCCUGAAAAAGGAUGCCUGCUGGGACCCUGGCUGUGUCUCUGGAGAGUCGGGGGGAGCCCACUGUCCCCCUUAGCCUCAUCUGGUGACGGGGUCACAGGAGGGGAAGGGCCACAUUUGGACUUCCCUGGUGGCACAGUGGAUAAGAAUUUGCCUGCCAACGCAGGGGACACGAGUUUGAUCCCUGGCCUGGGAAGAUCUCGUAUGCUGCUAAGCUCCCGCACCACAAUACUGAGCCUGAGCUCGAGUCCACGAGUCGCAACUGCUGAGCUCAUGAGCUGCAGCUACUGAAGCCCACAUGCCCUGGAGCCCACGCUUUGCAAUAAGAGAAGCCACCGCAAUGAGAAGUUCGAGCACCAAAGCUAGAGAGUAGCCCCC